GUCUACAGCCAAACCACCCUAGACGGGCCCGAUCUCGUCUCGAUCUCGGAAGCUAAGCAGAGUCGGGCCUGGUUAGUACUUGGAUGGGAGACCUCCUGGACUGGAGAGCUCCUGGGAACACCGGGUGCUGUAGGCU
ensembl:rRNA 5S_rRNA 5S ribosomal RNA